rnacentral:tRNA from 1 species
GAGCCGCAGGACGGCCCGGCCGGGGCCUGACCGGCCCCGGGUCGGCAGCGUCACCGGCCCCGGCACCGUUCCGUCCGGCGGCGGGGCU